AGUCACGCGAGGCUGGCUUGCUGGAACCGGCUAGAAAAUGCAGCCCUGCCUGCCGCAGGGAUCUCCUCCGGUAUGGCCACACAUAUGAGUUCUGGCAAUGCCCAUUAGUGAUAUGGCCGAUAGUUUCUUCUGUCUUGCUUCCAGGAACCUUUUCUUGGUUUGAAGCCACCGAACCAGAAGAGAGAAUUUUUACCACUUUGAGGACUUCUUGUGACGAAUCCAAUGGGAAUUCCAUAAUAUUCAGAAACAAAACAUUUUGAGGGCCAACAAAUUAUUAAGCCCUUUGCUAGGUCUUAGAGAUACAAAGAUAAAGAAGACUGGAGUUUUCUUUUUAUUAUCUACCAGACUGAAGGCCACUGCCUGGGGACUUGAUCUAAGAGAAGAAAUAUCAGGAGACCUGGGUUUGGCUCCUGGCUCUGCCAGGUGAUCAUGGAGCAGUCACGUAUUAUCCCUGAGCUUCCGUUUCCUCAUCUACUUAAUUAGUGAUGGGUCUACAGGGCCUUGCUGGGGUCCACUUCUGACAUUCUGUGUUGAUAGUUGUCCGGAAAAGGAAGAGGAUGACACUGAUGACCAGCCGUCUUGGGUGGUUCACAGGCUCACUAAGGAGGCAGUGUUGAGCCUGACGGAUCUGUGAAGGCCCCUCCGACUUGUAACUGUAAAAUGAUGACUCUUGAUGGAACUCUACAGUUGUUGACACCUGGUGGGCCACCUACAGCUGAAGGUUCAAAGUGAUAAAACAAACCUGGUACGGAAAUAACUGAUUGUGGAACGCGAAGGACCUGUGAUCAUGCAAAGGUGACAGAGCAGGUAAAAUGUUUUGGACAAGAGGGAGAGAGUUUGCAGGUAAAGAACCUAUAAGGGGCAGAAAGAGGAAUGCAGGACACUUCGGGAUGUGGGUCACAUUUUGUCCUGGAAUCAGUACUUACCAGCUUAGUCUGAGGCCUUGGGACAGAAGUGCUGCUCAUAAAAGUAAAUUGUGUUUCUGCAAUGAAAUCUCUGAAACUUCAGGAGAAGAGCACUUGGUCAGCUUGCUUGGGGUUACUAGUUCAGUGGUGACAUACAAGUGUGUGUGUGUGUGUGUGUGUGUGUGCACGUGCAUGCGCAUAUUUGUGUGUUUAGACGGUGUGUGCUCACUGCUUCAGAGAGCAGUUUCAGGGCCAUCUGUUUUGAGCUCAGUGUGACUCCAGAUAACCAAGAGUAGGAAACAACUCUGGGGUGAUGAUGGCAGCAACAGUGACCUCAAAGUAAAGUGGUGAGUAUUUUUUUACUAUCUUCCCUGAUUGUGUGGGACCCUCAAAUAUUUCCCCAAUUAUUUCUGGGAAUCCUAAAGAGCUACCUCUUAAGUCCUCUAAGCAAAUUAUCUCAGCAGCCUGAGAAAAGGGACUUGCCAUUUUCCCUCUUCUCUGCCUCUGAAUCCAUUUGGUAAUUAUGGCCAAGAAGUCACAUGUAGACUGCAUUGCAGUGGGGUGUGGCUGAGAGGACUUGCUUUAGGGUGGAGCGAAGUAACAUGCUAUUAAUCUGUUCAUGUAACCAAGCAAUCUGUCUUUUAUUCUACAUAUUGUCACAUAGUCCAUAGAGCAUUCAAGGCCUGGAAAGAAAAGAACACUAACAACAAAACCAAAACAAGUAGACAAACAAAACAACUUCAAAAUACAGCUCCUGUUCUGUAGGAGCACAUAGUCCAUUGGAGGUCCACUUACACACACACACACACACACACACACACACAAGGGUGGUGUAAACAGUGGUGCUGGAGUCUCCUGAGAUUGUGCCCGGCAGCACGGCAUCAGGAAAGACCCCAUGGGAGCAGAAAUUUUGAGAUUGGAGCCCUAUUUUGAAGGAAGAGUAACAUUUGGACAGGUUCAGGUGAAAGGAGGGAGAACUUCCUAGGUAGAGAAGUGGCAUGUGGCAGGAACUUGCAUGGCGAGAAGCUGAAGCCAGCUGUUUGGUUGGUAGGAAGAUCAGUUUUCCAGGAGCAGGCAGUCAGUGUAGACAAUCCACACUGGCGAGGUAGCCUGGAGUUAGGCUGUGGAGGACUUUAAGGACAGUCUCAUUGGAUCUGGGGCCCACCCUAAUGCAGGAUUAUCUUAUUCCAAUCCUUACCUUAAUCAUGUCUGCAAAGAUGGCAUUUCCAAAUCAGGUCACAUUCUGAGGCUUUGGUGGAGGUGAAUUUUUGGGAGAUGUUAUUUAAUUCACUACAGAUGAGUUAAGAUUGGGGCUGAUUAUAAACUGCUAUAAUUGGGGUAACAAGGAAAGGCUUUUUGGAGGGAAUCAUAUUUGAGUUGAGACUUGACCAAGGACAAGGAAGAAGCCAUGUGAAUGUAAAUAAGCAGAAGGAACACCAACAGUCAAGACCUUAAGAUGACAAUAAGUUUAGUGUUUAGAAAGAAUGACAGCUUUUUUUGUCCUCUGUGAUGUGAAUUUUCUCCCUUGAAAUGGUGCUAAAGCAUUUAAGCCUAAAGAGACAAAAUAGGAGACAAUCUUGGAAUUGAAUCCACUCAAUCUGCCUGCUGCUCUUGCUAAGGUCAAGGCUGUGCUGUGGAUGAACAUGACCUCGACUGAAAGUAUUUGAAUGCUAUUGGUGCCCCAUGAAAUGAACUAAAUUAUUUCACGAUUCUCUUCCUCUGCUAAACUUUGUUCUCAGAAAUUAGAAGCCCAGAAAAGUAGCUCACACUCAGUAUUCAAACUCUCAUUGCAAUGGAAGCAGCAUUGCAGAAUUUAUUUAGUGCAGAGAGUUGGGAAAUUUGGGUUUUAAAUCCCAACUUUAACAGUGGCCAACCAUGCCUUUUAGGUAAGUCUCUUUACCUCUCUAGGCCUCAGUUUUCCUCAUCUGUAAGGCAAUGUUGGACCAGGUCAUGUGAGGGCUGAGGCAGAGUGGGACCCUUCCAACUCUGGCUUCCUAGCUUCACAGAAUGCCCCAGGAAUUGUCUGGCCUUCGCAGGAUCUUCCCAGAGUUCAUGGACACAUUUGGCUCUUGGGUAGCCAAGGCUCUGAGUGUAGAAUAGUAAAACCAAUAUGCAUGAGGGUACUUGUGAAUACACUCCCACCUAAACUUGACCUCUAAUGUGAGGCCCAGUUUCUGAGUGUGGAUUUACAAAGGCUUUCCUCUGUACACUUCUCCUUGCACCUGGAGAAUCUGCUUGUGGACUUUCAGAUCUACCAACUACCUUCCACAGAGCUCUCUGAGACAGGGAAGGAAAACCAGGCUUUACAGCUAGACCAGGACUUUGUUAAUAAGACGAUUGUUCACAGCUAUAUGUUUACCACAACCUCUUUUAGCUUUGCCUGUAAUUACCUUGGCCCUAUGCACUGAAGAAUCUGUCUGCACUGCAGCGGGACUCUUAAGUUCCCAUUGAUUCUGAGUAAGUCCCAAAUAUAUUUUUAUUCUGUCCUCUGGUAUUCUGCUGAGCAGAGGGCAGAGUGUCUCUUUCCUGCUCUGUGCAGGAGGUGAUGAGCUCCUUGAGUGGUUCUGCUACUAGCUCACUGGUGACCUGGUGACCAUCUCAUUCUAGUCGGCCCAGGACAAUCCCAGCUUGAAAAUGGAAAAUUCUGGAUCCUGGAAAACCCCUCAGUCUUGAGCAAACUGGGAGAUUGGCACUCUACAGCAGUGCAUCAGGGUUGCUCGGAGUCCAGUAACAAAUUUGGAGACUAAGACGGUGGCUCACGCCUAUACUCCCAGCACUUUGGAAGGCCAAGGUGGGCAGAUCACCUAAGGUCGGGAGUUCAAGACCAGCCUGUCCAACAUGGAGAAACCCCAUCUCUACUAAAAACACAAAAUUAGCUGGGUGUGGUGGCACAUGCCUGUAAUCCCAGCUACUCGGGAGGUUGCGGUGAGUGGAGAUCGCGCCAUUGCACUCUAGCCUGGGCAACAAGAGCGAAACUCUGUCUCAAAAAAAAGAAAAAAAAUAAACUGGAGACAAAGCAUUAAUCCUAACAGAAGGCAAUGCAGAUCCACAGGCAGUGCCACGGAGCCAGCUGUGAGCCCUGCUACUGCUCCCUUCUCCCAAGGCAUCCCCCUGCAAGGCUGCACAACGCUAUGCUGAGCACGGGGAGUCUCUGGACGCCUCUGCCUAGCUGCUUGACUGGAAAUCUACCCACAUUUAGAUUUUCUAGUAAUACUCACUCUAUUUUUCUUAAGAGACCCUGGCUGACUAAAACAAUAUAUAGCAACAUAAUACAUUCUGUAAGGAAAAUCAGUAGGAAUUCCUCACUCUGAAAAACAUCUUUACUGGCUCUGUCACAAAAUAGGCCCUAAGUGGCGGUAGUGAAAGGACCAGCAUUUCUCUUCACUGCUGAUGCACAGGUGAGAAGCUUGAAUUGUGAUUUCUGAUGCUAUUCUUUUCUCAAAGCAAUCAAAUUUUCUUGGAAGUUAGUUAAUUGCAGUCUUAGGGAAAAAAAAAGCGAGGAUGGCUUGGAACAUCUUUUUGUUGUGGACUGAAAAAAAGGAGUGUUCGAGAAUAUCAGAGGCAGUACUUAAAGGAGUUUUUGCUAGCCCCACUGUGAAAAUGUGAACAUCAAAUAAAAGGCAAUCACGGCUUCAUUAAUGCAAGUUGUUUUUGUGAAAGGCUAUGAGUUUGGUAUAAUACUCUAAUGAGAUAAGUGUAUAAAAACAUAGCUAUCAUACAAAAAGAGGUGAAUAUAACAGACAAGCAAAUUAGUAUACGUAGAUAUUCUGGCUUUUAAAAAAUAUUAAGUAUAUGUCUGUUUUAAAAUAUUGAUUUGUAUUUGUUUCGUUCUGCACAAGCAGGAGAGAAUAAACUGAGGGACCUGAGAGUCAGCCAUGACGCCCCUGGAGAAGUCUGUUUCAGGAGCAGGAGGGAUUCCUCGGCAUUGUGCCAUUUAAUAAUUAGAAAGGAAUGGGGCUCAAGAGAUCAGGAGUAGCAGGAGAGCUCCACAGUUGUACCCCGCCCUGAUGAAUUAUUCAGUAUUCUAAGGAGGGAGGUCAUCUUUCAUUUCUUAAGAGAUGAAAUCUCAACAUGGCUCCACUAAUGAGAAGCAACUACUACUAAAGAAAGUGUUCUUUUUUUUUUUUUUUUUUUUUUUUUCCCGAGACAGAGUCUUACUCUGUCACCCAGGCUGGAGUGCAGUGGCGCCAUCUUGACUCACUGAAACCUCCACCUCCCGGGUUCAAGUGAUUCUCCUGCCUCAGCCUCCCGAGUAGCUGGGAUUACAGGCACCUGCCAUCAUGCCCAGUUAAUUUUUGUAUUUUUGGUAGAGAUGGGGUUUCACCACGUUGGUCAGGCUGGUCUCAAUCUCCUGACCUCAGGUAAUCUGCCCGCCUUGGCCUCCCAAAGUGUAGGGAUUACAGGCGUGAGCCACCAUGCCUGGCCACAUUCAUUUUUAAGAAGGCUAACAGAUCAGGCCAAUAUAUCAAAAUUAAAGAAUAAUGCAUGAAUGCAUCAGGACAUGCAAAUUUAAUGAACACUUUAUUUCUGGGAAAGAAAAGUCAUGCAAAAAUGAAAUAGCUAUGAAAGUCAGGGACAUCAGAAUGCCACGUGGUGAAAAGAGGACUAUAUUAGGUAUCUAUUGCAGUGCAACAGAUUAUCCCCAAAACUUAGUGGAAAAGGGAGAAAGAGAAGGACAAGAAAAAGAAAAUCAAAUAGCUGCUCUGGUGGCCUAGGAAUGUUGCCUAAUAUCAAAACAAGGAACAAGGGAGGCCAAACCCUCAGGAUAUUUCAGGGCAAGAGAUGAUUGUGGCGGCCAGGCAUGGUGCUUUUUAAAGCUCCCAGGUGAUUGUGUCAGGCGUCAGGGUUGGGAAGCUUUAUUCCAGAGUGUGACUUGCCAAUCUACAUUUACUUUAGUCACAGUCAACAUGGUUAGUAGAGGUGUUGGGGGUGUAUAAUGAACACUCACCGAGCAUCAGUGAUGAAUCAGGUUCUGUGCUAGGGCUCUUUUGUAUAUUUCCUCAUUGAUUCCUCACCAUAGCCCCGGGCGAGCACACAGCACAACUGUAUUAUCACCAUUUAUAGAGGCAGGAACAGAGGCUAGAAAAGUUUAGUAAACUGAGACUUUCUCCUCCUCAUGAAGGAAAAUGGUGAGCAGUGGGCUGCAGAAAACAGUGUUUGGACUUAGAAAGCAGUGCCCCAAAGGAAGCACAAGUUUUGCCCUGACCUUAUCCUGCCCUCCUGUCUCAGUCCCAGUCUCCACCUAGGCUAGCCAUGGAAACUAGAAUCUUCGAGGUGAGUCAUAGAAACCAGGACCCCCUUUCUCCAAAGCCAGCCAUAAAACCUAAAAAUAUUACUCUGACAUUCCCCUGCCUUUCUGCGUAAAAACUGGCCACAAAGAAAUUAUCUGGCCUACUUUGUUUGACUGUAGGUCAUAAGACCCCCAUUCCAGUGAGGGUCCUGCCCAUAACCAGAAGGAAGGAAUGCUGAACAGAGGCCAAGAGGAACCUAGGCAGACAGGCCUUGCUGGAUCCCCACUCAGUCUAUUAGCGUUAGAUUAUAGCCUUUUUGUCGAAUCAUAUUUCUACAUGGCUGUCCAUACUUAAUUGAACCUAAGCUAUCAUACUUUGUUGAACAUGGACAAUUUCUUUGCAUCUUUGGGUCUUCAUUCUGAAGGCUCUCGUGUACACAUUAACAAUAAAUUGCAUGCCUUUUCUCCUAUUAAUCUACCUCUUGUCUGUGAUUUUCAGUAAACCUUCAGAGGACAAAGGGGAAAUUUUCACUUGGACCUCACAAGGACGAGGUUCAACCAGGGGGAGCAAUGAUGGGUGCUGGAAGGGGAAGUGAUGGGGGUGGGAGGGUAGAGGAGGGAAGAUCUCUAGGCUUAAAUCCAAGGCUGGGAUGUAAAUGUGGAGCUCUUUCUCCUUCUUUGCCCUUGGAACGUGGUGCUGUGGCUCUGAUAAGCUCCUACUGGGUGUUGAGUAACUUUGUGUGACAAGAGUAGAGAAACUGAGAAGAAGAGGCCCAGGAAGAAGGGUCAGGAAAUGCAGAUUUCAGGUCACUGAAGAGGCCAGGCCAGUGAGGACAGGGAUGAUCCUAUGGAACACGUCAAUGCUGCUCCAGGAGCAAAAAGAUCAUCUCAGGAUGGGGAGAAACUGGGUGCCUGGAGGCUUCAGGUUGCUGUUGUCAGCAGUUAUUGGAAAAUGUUUUAAAGCAAAUAUGCACAUGCCCACUCACCCAUGCACACACAUCUGCUUCUAGAAACAAACUGAAUUUCUUUGCUACAACAAAGUGGUCUCAUUACUUUAUUUACGUGGAAAAUGACAUAGAGAAUUCCCUCCCCAUAAGAGCUGCAAGUUCACCUUGAAAUGCAAAGUGAUUGAUUGUGCUACACCCACUUAGUUUCUCCUUUUCUGAACGUUUGACAUCAUUCAGUCUUUGCUGAUAGGGAAUCCUGCAGCUGUGUAUCUCCUCAUGUGGCCUCAAAAGCAUACCUGUUGGGGCCAUUACUUUACUCUGGUAAUUUGUAAGGCAUCUUGUGCUACCCUGGUAAAUGACUUGGGAAAGCCAUUGGUGCCCAAAGAAUGACUGAAAUCAGGAGCCAAGACAAACUUGGAAAUAUGGGCAUGGUGCUGGGUAACAAAUGAAAAUAAAGGAAACAAACCGACCACAAAAUCAACCUCAAAUGCCCUGCAUUGUGCCUUAGAGGCAAUGAAAUAGUAGUGCUGGCUUCCUAAAACAGGAACCCUUCACCAAGCAAGAACUGCGCAUUUCAGAGGCUGCAAGGUGCUCUUCUAAAUCACAAAAGAAGCAAGUGGAAGUGAGGUCAUUGUUAGAGGUCUGAGUUUGGGGUUAGAACAAGCCCGUGUCUAUGAUACUAGGCUUAGGCCUUAAGGAUGUUUCAAGACCUAGAGAGCUGUGCUUGGCUAGACCUUGUUGCCUCUCAUCACCGAAGCUAUUCCCAAGUACCACAGGCCCCUCUGGGAAAUUAAUGAUGGUUGGAGAGGAAGCCAGCUCCACAGUCAAGCUGGGGGCAUUUGAAGAGCCCAAGGUGAGGAAAUAAGGGAGCGUAUGAAUUAAAGAAGCAGAGUUUUUGCUUGGGUUCUGAUCUCUGAGGCAGUAUGUGGCUCAGAUAAAAACUCUGUGGAGCUAUUUCCUAUGCUGGAUGGAGUUCUCUCUCACAAUAGGAAAGCUUUAAGUACUGAAUGUAAAGUUCUCUAUCAGCUAUCUGGUGAAUCUCUCCUAUGCACAGUGUUGUAAUAUAUCCAGGUGAGAGGUGGAGCCCAAGGAGUGUCAUACAGGCUGGUUAUUCGUUUCCAGAAAAAACAGGUAAGAAUAUUUUUGUUUAAGAUGAAAAUCAAUGAAAGGCCUUUCUUAAGGGUUAUGGACUGAAUAUUUGUAUCUCCCCCUCCCCAAGCUUAUAUGUUGAAGCCCUAAUCCCCAGUGUGAGGGUAUUUGGAGAUGAAAUUUAUUGGGAGGUAAUUAGGGUUAGAUUAGGGCAUGAAAUUAGGGUCCUCAUGAUGGGAUGAAUGGCUUUAUAAGAAGAGGAAGAGAGAGAGGAAAAGGCCAUAUGGGACUUAAUGAGAAGGCAGCUGUCUGAAGCCAGGAGGAGAGACUUCACCAGAACCUGACCAUGCUGGCACCCUCAUCUUGUGUCCAGCCUCCAGAACUAUGAAAAAAUCAGCUUCUGUUGUUUAAGUCCCCAGUCUGUGGUAUUUUGUCAUGGCAUGCAAGCUGACUAGACAUUAAGUAUCCACCUUUGCUCAUGCUGGCCUGGGCUGUACUGAGAACAUCUAUCUUUUCAUUGACUUUAUCUGUCCCCAAAUGGAAUAUUCCUUCCCUAUGAUUGUGGCUUCUCCAGUGGGGAUCAGAUGGCCAGUCUAGUAGCAGGUAGGGUGGCAUCACAGGAAACUGACAUUUUGUAGGUCAAAAGUUAUAAAAAAAAAAAAAAGCCAUUGAAAAUUGCUGCCAUUUGGCCUAUAAAGUGGCUUUUCCAUGCAGUUGUAACAUACCUGGUAUUGUGUAUCUAGGUGUUGUGGGUGCCAAAAAUGUAAGAAGCACUUUUGUCUGCAGAAGAUUUAUAUUAUACCAGGAUUCAGCAAACUAUGACCCAUGGGCCAAGUCUGACCCAUCACUGGUAUUCGUAGUCUUCCUGGAACACAGCCACACCCACUUGUUUACUUAUUGUCUAUGGCUGUCUUCAUGCUACACCACCAGAGCUGAGUAGCUGAGCAAAGACUGCACCACCCACAAAACUUAAACUAUUUACCAUGUGACUGGUUAGAGAAAAAGUUUUCUGAGCCCUGCAUUACACAGUGUAAGUGUAAUGCAAGUGUAAUGCAAGUAAGACUCAAUGAUCACGCAUAAACACUGCCAUUUUUCUUAUUGCAAUUUCACACAUCUCCUACCUUACCUUUCUUACCUUUCAUCACUAUUUUUUUCACUCCUCUACUUGUUUGAAUUUCCAAAGUCUCUCCUUUCCCCACUCUUCAUGAUUCCUGCUUGUUUCUGGCCCCCAUUCCUUUCUACUCUCUUCUGUUUGCUUUUCCUUCUUCUCUUGAUUGGCUUCUGCUCUCCCAUCCUUGCCCAUCUCUUCCCACCUCUUCAUUCUCUUCUUCUUCCACUUUGUUCCUUCCUCUUUUCCUCUGUGCCUCCUCCAUGGAACUGGUUGGAUUCUUUGACUUAGGAUGGAUGGAUUGACUCACCUUCUCACCAUUCACGGCGGCCUUUCUGGCCCACACACAAUCUUGUGUAGAUUUUCCUCUUUAGAUCUUAUGUUUCUCUGAGGCAGGACUGAUAUUUAACUGGUAAGGAAGGUAGCCUUGUAAGAAUCGAUGUUUAUUUAGACUGUCUGCUCUGAUUGGUCAGUGUUGAAUUUUUUGCAAAUCAUUCUUGCCAUCAGAUCAUCUGUCUCAACCAGCCAGACAGCUCAAAAUUUAGAAAUGUUGCCCAGAUAUCUUUCUCUUAGAGACUCUAUGAAUUCCUGUUUGUGGGCUCAGCCUCUGGGGUUUUAAUGAGGCUCUUGUUGUUUUUAUAUCAUUGUGAGGCAGUGUCUAGAAUUCAGAAAUUAAGUCCAUUCAAAAUUAGGAUGGGUGUGUGUGCUGGGUGGUGCCUUUCUUCCCACAAAGCAAUGUGUUUUGAAUCUAAGAUAUUCUGUGGUCAAAUGCUUCUCAGAAGCAUGUACCAGUGGCUGCUAAAGACUUUCUUAUGCAAUACUGCUGAAAAAUACACCAAAAAACUGGGUAGUGUGGAGUCAUUUCUAAGCAAUUAUCAGUGAUACACCAAGCCUUGUCACACCACUCAUCAUUGAUGCCAGACUGACAAAAGACCUUAAAUUUCAGGGUUAUUAACCAUCACCCCAACCCAUGAUUGAAUUGAGAGGAAAUAGCCCCAGCACACAGCAGCCACAGACUUUGCUUGGCUUUGAAGAAUGUUGCCUAGAAUAUAUUUUAGUGACAAAGACUUGGCUGCAUUUACCAAUUUUUUCUUUUCUUUUUUUCUUUUUUUUAAGAGACAAGGUCUUCCCAUGUUGCCCAGGCUGGACUCAAACUCUUAGGCUCCAGGGAUCCUCCCACCUUGGCCUCCCAAGUAGCUGGCUGGGACUACAGGCACAUGUCACCAUGACUGACUUUGUCUAAAAUUUGAAUUUAUUCACCCUAAUUACUUUUCUUUCUCUUUAAAAUGUUCUUGUUAAAGCUGUGCUCCCUUUUUUCCAUGGUGAGUAUGGCAAUUCUGAUUUCUGUAUAUUUUUAAAACUUGUGGACAAACCACUUCAUCAUUGUAUCUAACAAUAAAAGUCAUAGGCCGGGUGCGGUGUCUCACGCCUGUAAUCCCAGCACUUUGGGAGGCCGAGGCAGGCGGAUCACGAGAUCAGGAGAUCGAGACCAUCCUGGCUAACAUGGUGAAACCCCAUCUCUACUAAAAAUACAAAAAAUUGGCCGGGUGUGGUGGCGGGCACCAGUAGUCCCAGCUACUCAGGAGGCUGAGGCAGGAGAAUGGCGUGAACCCAGGAGGCGGAGCUUGCAGUGAGCCAAGAUCGUGCCACUACACUCCAGCCUGGGUGACAGAGCGAGACUCCACCUCAAAAUAAAAUAAAAUAAAAAUAAAAGUCAUAAACUUGCUAUGGAAAAAACAGAAGGAGAUUUAGCCAAACAAUGUGUAAUAGACAUUUGUUGGUUGAUGCUGUAGCUUCUGUUAUUUUCUUCCUAGCAGCCCUCAUUGGAGUUUGGGAAUCCAUUUGGCUCUAUGGAAUCUGAUUCUACCUGGGGCUCCAGGGGUGGAACAUGUGACCCAGACCAGCACAUUUGGCUCCCCAGCCAUGUGGUUGGCCAUGGGUGGACAUAUGACCAAGCAAAUCCAAUUAGAGUGAAUCCCAGGACUUUUGCUUGGAAUUCUAGAACAAAAACCUUCUUUCUUUCCUGCUGGAUGUAAAUGAGAAAGCACACAGCUCAGGGACCUCUUGGUGAACAUCUUGGAACUAUGAACAAUAUUGGGCAGAGAUUAGACAAAAGGAAACUAGGUGCUCAGUGAAAAUGUUGAGCUGUUGGACCAUGCCUCAACUGAAACCUCUGGACUUUACACUUGUAAGAGCCAAUAAAUUCCUUUACUUAUUCAAGUCAAAUUGGGUUGGGUUCUCCAUCACUCGCAAUCAAAAGAUUUCUAGCUUAGGCACAGGACCAUUGAAUAAUGAUCAUAGGCAUAGAAACAAGAGACCAAAGACUGGGUACUAGUGUCUGCUCCAUGCCAACUAACUAAGACCUUCAACGGGUCUUUAUCCUCUCCUCUGUGGGCCUCAGUCUCUAAUAUACAGAAAGGAAGUAUAAAAUUGGGCUUGGUGCCUUCUGAGAUGUUUUAGAUUUAAGAAUCUCUGAGUUCAACCCUCAUCUUGAUCCAUUGCAAACCAGCUCUCCGUUUGCCAUUUCUGUCAAUGGCCCAUCACACUCCCAGCCUCUGGAUAGAAACUUCGAAGUUGUCACUGUAUCCAACUCCAACUCCAUCUCUCCUCACCAACUCCAACUCCAACUCCUCUCUCCUCAUUAUCUCCUAUAUCUGCUCCGUUACCAAGGCUUGUCAGUUCUUCUUUCUAAAUAUCCCUUUUAAUCUUUCCCUCCUUCCCAUUCUUGUGAACAUUAUUCAUGUCCAGGCCUUCAUCCACUUGCUACAUCUCCCUACAGUUCCUAAUCCCUUGAAUCCAUCUUCCUCAUUCCUGCCAAAUUAAUAUCUUCAAACAGACUUUUAAAAAUUACAGGAGCCCCACGAUGGAAAAAUAAAGUCUAUACUGCUCAGGAGGCCUUCUGUGUGCUCCAUUCAUUGCAGCCAUCCUGGCUUUUUAACAUGGGUUACUUUUAUAGCCUUGAUUGAAACACAGAAAGAGGACUGUUUUUGUUUGUUUGUUUGUUUUUGAGGGUAUUUGGAAAGGACUUUUUCAGGAAGUACUGGAGGCUUAUAUAGUAAAUCUGUUGUUGCUGGGCCCAAGUUGUAAGGGAAUACAUGUUGGUGAAUGAAGCAUGGCAGCCUCAGAGCUAACAACCUAGGGCCCCAUGAGCACUGCAUCUUCUACAAACUCCCUCAGAUGAGUGUGCCCUGGAAAGUGUGUGGCACUUUUAGGUGUUAAAUACACUUAAUAAAGCAAGAUAUAUCUUAUAUGUGGUUGACUGUGAAACGAUGGGCAUUUUAAACAUUUGUGACUUUAACAUAACCAAAACAGAUAUUGGUUAAUGUCUAACUGCUAUUCUUUUUAAAGCGUAUAUUAAUGUAUCAAGUAUAUAUUUUACUAGGACACUCUGUAGUAGGUAGCCAUGAAAAAAGUGACUGUUGACUUAUUAUCUUCUUGGAGUUAUUGCUGGAUUAAGAGGAGACAUUCUCUGUUUUUUUUCUUUUCUUAUUUUUAAUAACAGAAACUCUGGCCCAUGAAGGCCUGUGUGCUCUGAGAGAAUGUGCUGAGCCGGCCUUGUUUUUCUCCUGUUUCCCGUGACAGGGCGCUCCUCCCCACAGGACUUGCCAAGUCCUCAUGCACGUUGAGUCAACAUUUUGGAUAUGAGCUCAUUACAUGGGAAAAAGAGUUUAAACACCAGCUCAACAUGCAAGUGUACUAUGGGCUCUUUCCUGUCAAUGUUUCAGUUCAAAUUUCCUGAAGCUUGGAAAAUUGCAUGUAUUCGUACAAUAUCUCAGCAUUCUCCCUCUGGCCUGAAGUGAGGCAGUUGGCUUCCUGCUGUAGACUAAACAAAUGAAUAAAAGAUUCAUGCCAUGUAUAUAGUGUAUCUACAGCUUUAGGCAUUGUCUAUUUUACUGACUGCCUUGUGGGUGUACUUAUGUGUACAAUGGCCCAUUGUGCUAAUCCAGUGGUCAGAAUAAGAAUUAACAUUCUUGAAAACCACUUCAGCUGGUCAAUUUUGAUUUCAGCUAGCAAUCAAGUCAAUUUGAACAUCUAAAAGAACUAGAUAUAGUUAUUUUCUUUAUAUUCAUGGGGGAAGGAGGGGAUCUAGAAGUGAAUUAAGCUUCUUUGAGGAAUUAGGGUCAGGAAAAAACAGGUAAGAGAUGAGAAGAAGAUAAGAAUGACCCUAAAACUUAAAGUAUAAUUAAAAAAAAAAAAAAAGAAUGACUUGGGAAGAGAGAUUGGGAGAUAAAUGGUGAAUGGGGGUAAAGAUGGAACUUAAUCUUCACUUCAUUGUCAUGUCACAGACCAGACAUUAGUACCCACUGAGUACUCCCUUAUUCUUCUCUCUGGGGGAAUAUUUAGCCCAGAAUGUCGUGAGUACCCCAGGCAGAUGUUCAUUAUCUAAUUGGUGCUUGAAUAACUGAAUUUGACUUUUUGUGUGUGUUGCCCUAACCUGAAUCCCUUAGACACUGAUAGUAGAACUGUGGAGAAGUAUCCCUGGAGAUGACCCACAAUCUCAAGAAGGCUGAAGAGGAGAGGAAGAGAAUGGAUAAAUCGAAACAAGUGUUUAGAUGAUCAAGGCCUUAUAAGCCAUACCGCCAUGUAAGACGUGCCAUUCACCUUCCACCAUGAUUGUGAGGCUUCCCCUGCCAUGUGGAACUGUGAGUCCAUUAAACCUCUUUU